UGGGGUGCACCGAUGACUCUUUGUCUCCUUU
rnacentral:piRNA from 1 species